rnacentral:rRNA from 1 species
UACGUAGGGGGCAAGCGUUGUCCGGAAUCAUUGGGCGUAAAGCGCGUGUAGGCGGCUUGGUAAGUCUGCUCUGAAAGCCCGGGGCUCAACCCCGGGAGGCGGGUGGAUACUGUCAAGCUCGAGUCCGGAAGAGGAGUGUGGAAUUCCUGGUGUAGCGGUGAAAUGCGUAGAUAUCAGGAGGAACACCGGUGGUGUAGACGGCUUUCUGGACCGUAACUGACGCUGAGACACGAAAGCGUGGGUAGCAAACAGG